GAUUCUGGCUCAGGAUGAACGCUAGCGGCAGGCUUAACACAUGCAAGUCGAGGGGCAACGCGAGUAGCAAUACUUGGCGGCGACCGGCGCAAGGGUGCGUAACGCGUGAGCAACAUGCCCGUAUCAGGGGGAUAAUCCAGGGAAACUUGGUCUAAUACCCCAUAGUAAUUUUGUAAGGCAUCUUAUAAGAUUUAAAGCUUUGGUGGAUACGGAUUGGCUCGCGUGACAUUAGCUGGAUGGUAAGGUAACGGCUUACCAUGGCUAUGAUGUCUAGGGGUUCUGAGAGGAAGGUCCCCCACACUGGAACUGAGACACGGUCCAGACUCCUAUGGGAGGCAGCAGUGAGGAAUAUUGGACAAUGGAUGGAAAUCUGAUCCAGCCAUGCCGCGUGAAGGAAGAAGGUCCUAUGGAUUGUAAACUUCUUUUGUAUGGGAGCAAUAAGGCCUACGAGUAGGUUGAUGAGAGUACCAUACGAAUAAGCACCGGCUAACUCCGUGCCAGCAGCCGC
rnacentral:rRNA from 1 species